GCCUUCGUGGUGUAGCGGUCAGCAAGCUCGACUCGUAACCGAAAGUCUGCGGUCCGAUUCCCAGCGAAGGCG
rnacentral:tRNA from 1 species